rnacentral:rRNA from 1 species
CCCUUAGAUGUUCUGGGCCGCACGCGCGCUACACUGAUGCAUUCAACGAGUUUCUUCCUGGUCCGAGAGGAAUGGGUAACCUUUUGAAAGUGCAUCGUGAUAGGGAUAGACUAUUGCAAUUAUUGGUCUUCAACGAGGAAUUCCUAGUAGACGUAGUUCAUCAGACUGCAUCGAUUACGUCCCUGCCCUUUGUACACACCCCCGUCGCUCCUACCGAUUGAAUGCUCAGGUGAGCCAUUCGGACUUUCAUCAUGCUGGUUUCCAGUUUUGAUGAAGGAAAGUCUUGCGAACCUUAUCAUUUAGAGGAAGGAGAAGUCGUAACA